rnacentral:rRNA from 1 species
UACGAAGGGGGCUAGCGUUGUUCGGAAUCACUGGGCGUAAAGGGCGCGUAGGCGGCUUUGUAAGUCGGGGGUGAAAGCCUGUGGCUCAACCACAGAAUUGCCUUCGAUACUGCAUGGCUUGAGACCGGAAGAGGUAAGUGGAACUGCGAGUGUAGAGGUGAAAUUCGUAGAUAUUCGCGAAGAACACCAGUGGCGAAGGCGGCUUACUGGUCCGGUUCUGACGCUGAGGCGGCGAAAGCGUGGGGAGCAAACAGG